rnacentral:sRNA from 21 species
GUCAACGACCCGUCGCUAAAAGCGAAGGCUUCUAAAAGCUCAAGUUGACCAGCCUAAGUGCUACGCGCACUACGUUAACGGUAAGUGUUAAAGUUCCUACCUUGGGAUGCGUGCCAGUUCCAAGCUCUAGA